UACGGGGGGAGCAAGCGUUGUUCGGAUUUACUGGGCGUAAAGGGCGCGUAGGCGGCGCGACAAGUCACUUGUGAAAUCUCUGGGCUCAACCCAGAACGGUCAAGUGAUACUGUCGUGCUAGAGUGCGGAAGGGGCAACUGGAAUUCUUGGUGUAGCGGUGAAAUGCGUAGAUAUCAAGAGGAACACCUGCGGCGAAGGCGGGUUGCUGGGCCGACACUGACGCUGAGGCGCGAAAGCAUGGGGAGCGAACAGG
rnacentral:rRNA from 1 species